UACGUAGGACCCGAGCGUUAUCCGGGUUCACUGGGUGUAAAGGGUGUGUAGGCGGGCGUGCGCGUCCGGGGGGAAAGGUUCCGGCUCAACCGGAAAAAUGCCUUGGAUACGGCACGUCUUGGGUGCGGGAGAGGACGGUGGAAUUCCUGGUGUAGCGGUGAAAUGCGUAGAUAUCAGGAGGAACACCAGUGGCGAAGGCGGCCGUCUGGCCCGCAACCGACGCUGAAACACGAAAGCGUGGGGAUCAAACAGG
rnacentral:rRNA from 1 species